AAGUAUUCUUCGGUGCAGCCAGCGCUUCCACAGCGCGGCAGCCCAAACCUUACACACUGUGAUUAGUUUUUUUACUAUUUACUUUGGCUGCGCAAGUGGCCAAAGGUCUUAAACACAAAGAUUUAUAUCUUUUUUUACAAAAUUUAGUCAAUGAAGUUUUAAUACUAUAAUCUUCA
rnacentral:ncRNA from 3 species